rnacentral:rRNA from 1 species
GAUGAACGCUGGCGGCGUGCCUAAUACAUGCAAGUCGAGCGAACAGACGAGGAGCUUGCUCCUCUGACGUUAGCGGCGGACGGGUGAGUAACACGUGGAUAACCUACCUAUAAGACUGGGAUAACUUCGGGAAACCGGAGCUAAUACCGGAUAAUAUAUUGAACCGCAUGGUUCAAUAGUGAAAGACGGUUUUGCUGUCACUUAUCGAUGGAUCCGCGCCGCAUUAGCUAGUUGGUAAGGUAACGGCCUACCAAGGCAACGAUGCGUAGCCGACCUGAGAGGGUGAUCGGCCACACUGGAGCUGAGACACGGUCCAGACUCCUACGGGAGGCAGCAGUAGGGAAUCUGACGCAAUGGGCGAAAGCUUGACGGAGCAACGCCGCGUGAGUGAUGAAGGUCUUCGGAUCGUAAAACUCUGUUAUUAGGGAAGAACAAAUGUGUAAGUAACUAUGCACGUCUUGACGGUACCUAAUCAGAAAGCCACGGCUAACUACGUG